AAUGGAUAAUCUUCUCGAAAAAUGUAGAAUGCAACUUUAUGAACAAGAGAGUUCCGUGAUGAUUUUCAUGGAUACAAAAUCAUGAAAUAGAAACAAUACAAUUAAAUAUGAAUAAUGGUAAAUCCCAUUACACUAACAGCUUAUAGUUGUAAUUCUGUCAAUCUCUUUUGUCAAGCAUACAAUCAUUAAUCACUGAUAUCUGAAUAAUAUGAAAUUUUUCAACCAAUUAACUCACCAGUUAUGCUCAUUGGAUUAUGAAUGUCGUGAGCCUGAUAAUGCUUCCUUUAGUCACAUGUCGACCUUGCAUUCCCUGGUUGGAUACAACAAAAAUAGCAGCAAUGUGCAUUAUGCCAAAACCACCUUGCACCUUAUCAACUGCCAACCUAUCUCAGGCCUAAUCAGGGAUAAGGCCUGUAAUUGGAGUUUAUCUCAACAUCUCCAAUCCACCGAGUGUCCUCCUUGGCCAUGUAGCCCUCAGGCUUUGUAAUAGAUUGAGUUUCAAUUCUUUCAUGACUGACCAAGUUUCAGGAAGGAAUAGUUAAUGAAUAAUCAUCAGUCAAAUGGAUGCUCCAGGGCAUGCAAUGGUAAUCAAAAAGGUUAAUGUGACAGUGCAUCACAAGCUAAUGGGAAUCAAAAGGUUAAUGUGACGGUGCAUCACAAGCUAAGUUUCUCCUUAGCAAGAUAAGGCUAACCCAAACCCUAACUAUUGAUCCCCAACAUCUUGUCACAUAAAAGUCCAGGAGGCCCAUAGAUAUGCAUACAAGUGAAACCAAAAAGACCCAACCUUCAAUGCAAAAUGAUCUUCAAAAUCAUGUGAAUGAAAUAACAAACGAAAUAGCAACAAAAAAAAAAUGGUGGAUGUGUGGCUUUGCAGGCUUAAUCUAAUAUGUUUCGAUUCAUAUAGACACAUGAACAAAGAUCUUGGCUGUGAGUUUCCAAUCAUGAGCUAUCUCAUUCAAAUUCAGAAAUCAGAAUAUACGAAGGUUGGAGCAAAUUCAUGCAAAACCAUAUAGGUAAAAUUUAGUGCACAUUUGGUUAUGAUGCGAUUGAAUUUAAUGAAACAAAUUGUAAGUUCAUUGUUCCUUUCACUUUUUAUUUGAUUACAUUCCACUACGUUUAAUUACAUCCCAUCAAACAUGCACUUCAUAUCCUACUGACUAUUUGAAUUUUAAAGCUAGGACUACAUUGAAAAAACAAUUAUUCAACCGAUUGCAGCAAAUGCUACAGUAUUACAAAUACAAAGUCUAUCAUCUUAGCCUAUAUGUGCAUCAACUUAUAUCAUCAAAACUAAACAAGAAUCAAUGGCAAAAAGAAGGAAAGGGGGUAAUCUUGCAGAAACCUUUGUAAUUAAUGAACAUCUUUUUGGUUUUUCACAAGAACCAACAAUGUCAAGUGUAAAGCAAGACCAAUGCAAAUUAUUCAGAAACAGCUCCCACAUACCGACAUGCACCAAACAAUUCACCAAUCUUGCAUUUGAUGAAAUUUAAAUCUGCCAACUAUAUAAAGUAACCACAAUGAAAAUAUCAUUACUAAACUUAAAAUCCUUAGAAGUCAAGGUUAAUAACGUUAAAGCUUAUUACACCAAGCAUAUCUUUCACAUGAUUGUCACCCACAUACUGAUACAGAAUAAACCAAGCCAAG
rnacentral:misc_RNA from 1 species